rnacentral:rRNA from 1 species
GAAGUAAAAGUCGUAACAAGGUUUCCGUAGGUGAACCUGCGGAAGGAUCAUUAAUGAAACUUCAAAGUCGGCCAAAGGUUGUUGCUGGUGAUUAUUCACAUGUGCACGCCUUUGGUCGCAAAUCCACACACACCUGUGCAUCUAUGACUCGAGGUUGUAAUGACUGAGAGUAACUUUUAUACACUCUUGUAUGUAAUGGAAUGUCUUUUUGUGCUAUAAUGUACAAUAUAAACAACUUUCAACAACGGAUCUCUUGGCUCUCGCAUCGAUGAAGAACGCAGCGAAAUGCGAUAAGUAAUGUGAAUUGCAGAAUUCAGUGAAUCAUCGAAUCUUUGAACGCACCUUGCACCCUUUGGUAUUCCGAAGGGUACGCCCGUUUGAGUGUCAUUGUAAUCUCACUUCUACAACUUUAUUGUUGUUUGAAUGUGGACUUGGAUGUUGCCGUUUUAUCACGGCUCGUCUUAAAUGCCUGAGUGUACCCUGUUUUGCAGCGUAUCCAGUGUAAUACACAUUUCACUAGAGUUGGUCGAAAGACCGCGUUGACUAUAUGGGCUCUAUGCUUCAAACCGUCUGCCAUGUGGACAAUUUCUUGACAAUUUGACCUCAAAUCGGGUGGGACUACCCGCUGAACUUAAGCAUAUCAAUAAGCGGAGGAAAAGAAACUAACAAGGAUUCCCCUAGUAACGGCGAGUGAAGAGGGAAAAGCUCAAAUUUUAAAUCUGGUGUCUUUGACUCCCGAGUUGUAAUCUAGAGAAGUGUUUUCYGUGUCGGACCGUGUACAAGUUCCCUGGAACGGGGCGUCAUAGAGGGUGAGAAUCCCGUAUAUGCCACGGACUACCGAUGCUCUGUGAUACACUCUCAACGAGUCGAGUUGUUUGGGAAUGCAGCUCAAAAUGGGUGGUAAAUUCCAUCUAAAGCUAAAUAUUGGCGAGAGACCGAUAGCGAACAAGUACCGUGAGGGAAAGAUGAAAAGCACUUUGGAAAGAGAGUGAAACAGUACGUGAAAUUGUUGAAAGGGAAGCGUUUGAAGUCAGUCGCAUCUGUUGGGGUUCAGCCUGGCUUUUGCCUGGUGUAUUUCCUUUCCGAUGGGUCAGCAUCAGUUUCGACCGAGGGAAAAAGACAUUUGGAAUGUGGCUGUCUUCGGGCAGUGUUAUAGCCUUGUGUUGUAUGUCUCGGUUGGGACUGAGGAUUGCAGCGCGCCAUAAAUGGCCGGGGGUCGCUCCUCUCGACACGCGCUUAGGAUGCUGGCAUAAUGGCUUUAAGCGACCC